UUGAUCCUGGCUCAGGAUGAACGCUAGCUACAGGCUUAACACAUGCAAGUCGAGGGGCAGCAUGACGAUAGCUUGCUAUUGUUGAUGGCGACCGGCGCACGGGUGAGUAACGCGUAUCCAACCUGCCCUUGUCCAUCGGAUAACCCGUCGAAAGGCGGCCUAACACGAUAUGCAGUUCUCAGCAGGCAUCUAACGAGAACGAAAUGUGAAGGAGAAGGAUGGGGAUGCGUCUGAUUAGCUUGUUGGCGGGGUAACGGCCCACCAAGGCGACGAUCAGUAGGGGUUCUGAGAGGAAGGUCCCCCACAUUGGAACUGAGACACGGUCCAAACUCCUACGGGAGGCAGCAGUGAGGAAUAUUGGUCAAUGGGCGAGAGCCUGAACCAGCCAAGUAGCGUGCAGGAUGACGGCCCUAUGGGUUGUAAACUGCUUUUAUGCGGGGAUAAAGUGAGCCACGUGUGGCUUAUUGCAGGUACCGUAUGAAUAAGGACCGGCUAAUUCCGUGCCAGCAGCCGCGGUAAUACGGAAGGUCCGGGCGUUAUCCGGAUUUAUUGGGUUUAAAGGGAGCGUAGGCCGUCUGUUAAGCGUGUUGUGAAAUGUCGGGGCUCAACCUGGGCAUUGCAGCGCGAACUGGCAGACUUGAGUGCGCAGGAAGUAGGCGGAAUUCGUCGUGUAGCGGUGAAAUGCUUAGAUAUGACGAAGAACUCCGAUUGCGAAGGCAGCCUGCUGUAGCGUAACUGACGCUGAAGCUCGAAAGCGUGGGUAUCGAACAGGAUUAGAUACCCUGGUAGUCCACGCGGUAAACGAUGGAUGCUCGCUGUUUGCGUCUGACGUAAGCGGCCAAGCGAAAGCGUUAAGCAUCCCACCUGGGGAGUACGCCGGCAACGGUGAAACUC
rnacentral:rRNA from 1 species